rnacentral:tRNA from 1 species
GCGGUUUUAGCUCAGUUGGAGAGCGCAUGACUGAAGAUCAUGAGGUCACCCGUUCGAUCCGGGUAAACCGCA